rnacentral:rRNA from 1 species
CUACGGGUCGCUGCAGUGAGGAAUAUUGCACAAUGGAGGAAACUCUGAUGCAGCAACGCCGCGUGGAGGAUGACGCAUUUCGGUGUGUAAACUCCUUUUAUAUGUCAAGAAAAUGACGGUAGCAUAUGAAUAAGCUCCGGCUAACCCGUGCCAGCAGCCGCGGUAAUACGGAGGGAGCAAGCGUUACUCGGAAUCACUGGGCGUAAAGGACGCGUAGGCGGGAUAGAAAGUCAGGUGUGAAAUCCUAUGGCUCAACCAUAGAACUGCACUUGAAACUUCUAACCUAGAGUAUGGGAGGGGAAGGUGGAAUUAGUGGUGUAGGGGUAAAAUCCGUAGAUAUCACUAGGAAUACCAAAAGCGAAGGCGAUCUUCUGGAACAAUACUGACGCUAAGGCGUGAAAGCGUGGGGAGCAAACAGGAUUAGAUACCCCAGUAGUC